GAAAACGCUGAUUAGUUCAAGAACAGAACACCACCUGCUGUGGCUUUCCUCUGCAGAGCGGAAACAGACAAGGCUCCGGAGAGACCGGCGAGACUGGAAUACUGCAGCCUGCUGGGUCAGAACGUCAACAUGGUGUCUGUGACCCACCCCUCCUUCUGCUGACACGUUCGCCUUGGCGCUCUGGGCCCCUGACAGAGCAGGGACUGACCCUCAGUUGCUGCCCUUGCCUUAUAACUCCUGGAGACAGUCAAAGGUCACGACGUGGUGGCAGCAGACGGCACUCCACAGAUGGACGAUGACUAGCUGUGCUCCUGUCACAUCAGCAUGCGGUGGUCUCCUCCUGAGAGAGUGAGGGAGAUGAGAUGAGAGCGAGCGAGGAGGAGACGGAGAGAGACCCCUUGCCCAGGUCUUAGUCAGUGGUAACGAAAGGACACAGGGGCAGGAUGGGAAACAUGUGAAUCAGUGGUGUGCUGGUGAAUGCCCUGAGGCACCUUGGCAUUCACAGGCAGCUAGCAGGUGGCAGAGAGUCAGGCAAAGUCUGUGCACGACACACACAUACCCACGCGCUCCGUCUAUCCCUGUCUGAAAGUCACAAGCUGGGAACACAGCCAAAUAAAGAAAUCCAGGUUUUUGUGGGAUUGGAGCAUGUCUAUGUAAGCACUAGGGAAAAAGGGAAAGAACUUAUUACAGUUCAAAAGUGAAAGACUUCAGAAGCCUGAGGUACA